GACGAACGCUGGCGGCGUGCUUAACACAUGCAAGUCGAGCGGAAAGGCCCUUUCGGGGGUACUCGAGCGGCGAACGGGUGAGUAACACGUGAGUAAUCUGCCCCUGGCUUUGGGAUAGCCACCGGAAACGGUGAUUAAUACCGGAUACGACCACUUCUCGCAUGGGAUGGUGGUGGAAAGUUUUUCGGCCAGGGAUGUGCUCGCGGCCUAUCAGCUUGAUGGUGAGGUAAUGGCUCACCAUGGCUUCGACGGGUAGCCGGCCUGAGAGGGUGGCAGGGCACACUGGGACUGAGACACGGGCCAGACUCCUACGGGAGGCAGCAGGGGGGAAUAUGGGACAAUGGGCGGAAGCGUGAUCCAGCAACGCCGCGGGAGGGAUGACGGCCUUCGGGUUGUAAACCUCUUUCAGCAGGGACGAAGCGCAAGUGACGGUACCUGCAGAAGAAGCACCGGCCAACUACGUGCCAGCAGCCGCCGUAA
rnacentral:rRNA from 1 species